CCAAGGGCCCCUCGAAAUGCCAUUUAGGAGCUGCCGGGGUGUGAGGGCAGAACACCUUACUCUAGACCAGAGGUGGGCAAACUACGGCCUGCAGGCGACAUCUGGCCCACGGGACCAUCCUGUCCAGCCCCUGAGCUGCCGGCUGGGGAGUCUAGUCCCCAUCCCCUCCCCUGCUAUGCCCCCUCCCCUGCAGCCACGUCACCGCGCGGGCAGUGCGGCUUGUGCCCGCCCACCUCCCAGGCUUUCCACUAAGCCUGUCCUGCUGCUCUGAGCGGCCUGUUUGCCCACCCCUGCUCUAGAGUGACCCCUUGUGGCCAAGCUGGCCGCAGUACUGAGGAGGGAAGCUGGGGAGGGCCUCACAGCCCUGCUACGGAGCAGCUACACGGCUGUUUUUAGGGCCACAGUGCAAGCCCUACGAGCCCGAGUCUGUCCACCUGGCUCUGAGAUGUGCUGCUGCUCGCUCCGUGGCCGCCACAUUCGUCCCUAAAUCAAGGCCGCGGGCUUUAUCAGGCGUGUGGAGCGGGGCUGCACGUCCAUCUGCAAGGAUACGGAGAUCACUGACGACUACUACAAGGACACCACCCAGUGCUGCACAGACGAGGACUUCUGCAACAUCCACAACCCCUUCCCCAAAUUCUCCGAUUAUGCCUAGCGGGAGGCUGGCAGUCCGGCCUGGCAGGAACGCCAUGGUCUCCCUUCAUCCCACCCCCCGGCUCUAGGUUAGUCUCUCACGCCCCUCGCCGCAUGUAAAACCCAGCAGGACCCAAGACCAUCCCCUGGUGUCAUCCUCAAUUCCCCGCUCCUGUCGGCUACAAACAAUGUUUAAAUUAGGAACUGAGCUCUACCCUCCGGCCCCGUCCCGGACUCCCCCUGGCCACGUCCCGCUUCCCCUUGGCCCCUCCCCGUGCCUGGCUGCCCUCCUCCCAUCUUGCUGCCCCAGGCCCAGCACCCAAACUCUGGAGCUUUGCUGCUGUUCCAUAGUUAAAGGUGCCUGAAUCGGGGCGACACACCCUCCCCCACAGCUGUCGCUUCAGAGUCGCCGCUGCCCCGUGAGAAUGUUAAGGGGAACCCCCCCCAUUUCCCCAGACAUCGCUCUGUGCAGGGUGGGCAGUUUGCCAGCUCAGGAGGCUGCAGUGCAGAGGGGACACCUAACCUGCCAACCAAUGGGACCCACUCAAUUCUCCCUCCGUGCUUCCCUGUACACUGGGCCCCAGUGACGCCCUGAGCCUGGUGUCUGCUCAGCGCAGACCCCUGAGACAGAGCGAACACAGCACAACCCACAGGUCUCUGCUCCAGACGGGCUGUAAGAGGGUCGCUACCAGGUUCUCCCCCAGGCAACAGGCUGGCAGAGCCACGCCUGGGACAGGAACCCGGACAACAGAGCGCGCAGGGAUUUCCUCCUCCGCAGCGUGCCCAGCUCCCUGCCUGGCUGAUCCCCCAGAGCCCCCCUGCCCUCGGAAAUGAGUCCUGCCCGUCUCCCUGCCGUGCUCCAACCCCCACUGUGCCUGGGGCAGUCCCUGGUCUCUGAGUGAUCCUGGAAUGGGGUCACUCUCUACUGAUCACAUCCCGCCCUUGGCGGUGUAACGAUUACGGCUGUCUCUGAAACGCCGCCUCCCCGCUGUGCCCAGGAACAGGUGUGAUCCUGGCUUGCUGUAUUUGCAGCUGAGCUUUUGCUGAUGAAAUGACUGCACUUAUCUCCCUCUUUGUGGUAUUUUGCUCUUUUGUUUCCUUGCGCAAUAAACCCUCUGAUUCUCACGGA